rnacentral:rRNA from 1 species
UCGGGAAUUUUGGGCAAUGGGCGAAAGCCUGACCCAGCAACGCCGCGUGAGGGAUGAAGUAUUUCGGUAUGUAAACCUCGAAAGAAUGGGAAGAAUAAAUGACGGUACCAUUUAUAAGCUCCGGCUAACUACGUGCCAGCAGCCGCGGUAAUACGUAGGGAGCAAGCGUUGUUCGGAUUUACUGGGCGUAAAGGGCGCGUAGGCGGCGCGGUAAGUCACAUGUGAAAUCUCUGAGCUUAACUCAGAACGGCCAAGUGAUACUGCUGUGCUAGAGUGCGGAAGAGGCAACCGGGAUUCUUGGUGUAGCGGUGAAAUGCGUAGAUAUCAAGAGGAACACCUGAGGCGAAGGCGGGUUGCUGGGCCGACACUUACGCUGAUGCGCGAAAGCCAGGGGAGCAAAC